CACACAGACAUCUGUAGCAAAUGUAAAUGUAUUUCACACGGAUUUCCGUGACUAUUCUACUUAAUGUUACAGACAUCCAUGUCAAAAAGAAGCUACAUACGAAAUUCUGUGUAAAAAAUUCAAAAUUGAUGCGAUGUUCUUUCAGGUAGCUAUCGACACGCAGAUAUUUAUGAGAAUUUUGAAUGUAUCUCACACGGAUUUCAGUGAUUACAUUGCUUAUACCUCCCCCGCCGCGCUCCCAAUCUCAUCAAAUCCUUCAUCUUCUACUCUCUCCUAUCCAUUCCCAAUCCUAUACUUUCACUUAUCCUCUCAGAGACCCAAGUCCAAAAUCCUAAACUUGGAAAUUUAUUUUUCAAUCUCAGGAUUUUCUUCACCCAUCAUCUCGCAUGAUUUUCUUCCUCUCAUUGAUAUCUUCGAACCCAGAUUCGAUCUCGGAUUUAAGAAAAAGUAGAUCAAUUCCAGGUAUGUUUUUAGAUCUUAUCCUAUUACUCUGUUCAAUUUGUUAUUGGAUCUUGAAUAUUUUUCUUUUUGUGCUUCUUGGUUCCAGUUGUUUGUGGUGGAUUGCUUUAGAUGUGUUCAUUGUGAAAAGGUUCGUGAAAUCUGGAUUCCUUUUCUUUCGCAUGUUGAUUUUAUGGUUAGUUAAUUUCAUUCAAUAAUAUUCUUGUUUCUCUCUCCUUGGUUUUGCAGCUCAUUUAAUUUCAUUCAAGUUUACUGUCUUUAUAAUUUUUUCAUAUCUUUGGUUCAUGGAUCCUUAUGGUAAUGCUUUUGCAAAUCCAUGAAUUUCAUUCAAGAUCCUUAUGCUGCGUUCGCGGCAAGCAUGGCUUGGGCUUGAAGUACAUUUACUAGAGGGUUAACUUUUACAAUUGGGUUUAGAUGUAAUCAGUAAUUACUGGGAGGCUAGAAGUAGUUUCAUGUAAUGCCCCGUACCUUAAAAUUUUUACUAGUUACAUUUAUCGGUUUUGACCGAGGAGUUGACUUUUUAUUUUUUCUGUUAAGUUGGGAAUUUCCUCGAGAAUGUCGUAGUUUACGGAAAAUCGAGUUCGUGGACACGUAGUUUGUGUAAAUGGGAAUUUUGACGGGAAAGUUAUGACCUAAAAUAGGAGUUACUAUACUUAGUGGGUUUUAUUUAAGUGGUUUCUAUUUUGGGAAGAGAGAGAAAGUGACAUAACAAGAAAAAUGGGGAAAGCACGAUCUUCUUCUUCUCCCCCUUUCCUUUUCGCACGCACAAUGACCUGAGAAGACAAUCGGGCAAAUCCGUCGCCGUCAAGCCACCCCAGGUCGUCUCACCGGUCGGCAAGCUUCCUCUCUUCCUCCUCUUUCAUCUCAGGACGUAUUGAUCCCUCGAGCGAGGAGGAUACGGGCAGGUAGCAGGAUUAGCUGCGAGAUUCACCUAUUUGCCGAGAUCGCGUCCAGGAACUCGAGGCAUAGGAAUCAGUGCUUCCGUUUUGACCGUAGGUUAAUACUUAACCUACCUUGUAUGAUAUCGGUUUAGUUAUGUAGCACUGCUCUGAUAACCUUUUAAUUUGGAGAAUGUUAAUGCUUGAGAAUCUGUAACCAUAAUUGAAGUUAGGGUGGAUUUCGUACUUCCUGAAUGUAACUUAUAUACGUGGAAUGUAAAUAUUGGAAUGUGUAUCUG